rnacentral:lncRNA from 10 species
AGCCGAGAUGGCGCCAUUGCACUCCAGCCUGGGCGACAAGAGCGAAACUCCGUCUCAAAUAAUAAUAAUAACAAUAAUAAUAAUCCUGUUUCCUCCCACUUCCAGGCUUUUAGUUCUUCAUUUCACCUUCCAAACUGUAUUAUUUUUAGCCCUGAGGUUUUAAGAGCAAUCAGUAAGAAAAUUAAUUCCUUUCAUGUGAGGAAACUUUCCCGUUCUGCCUUUUCCCAGGCCACAUUGUGUUGUCUUCCUCAUGCUUUCUCUCUUCCCAGGGCCCUAAUAAGAGUAAGAACCGCCGCUUUCUAAGAACCUACUGUGUGUCCAGCAGGGAUCUACAGCAUUGCAUUCAAUUCCGUCCUCCCCCACGCCUGCCUUUAAUUGAUAUGAUAAUAUACAAAUUUUUUAAUGAAUAACAAAUGUGCCACCAAUCACCUAGAACUAUUAGGGAGGCUCCAAAGCAUCAAAGGCUAAACUAAACACCAUGGCUGGAGAGGGAAUGAACUGGAGGAGGGAAAGGAGGAAAGACUGGGGGGACCCAGAGCUCUCCACCCUUGUCCUCUCGCUCCAGCCUGGUCUGUUCUUGCUCAUUCAGAAACUGGUUGGAGUAAAAAGAUUCCCCUUUUCAAGAUCGCCAAAAGUGGAACUGAUCGCUUUCGAAGGGACUCCUUCAGGAAGAAGGAGAAAAAUUCGAGAAACUUACCUGUUUCUCUCCCUGGAAUGCCUUCUGAACCCUGAGAUUUACUUUCCUCAAUAAAGAAGCUCGCCUCGCCCACCCAGCCCACUCUUCCUAGGAGCAGCGAGGAUCGCUGUCCCUCCAGCACAUACUAGUCAACUCGAGUCAUCUGAAUAUGGGCAUAUUGGGCACAUAUUUCUUUGUAAUGGUUCCUCU